AUCUGGCUGACGAGUCUCAACCAGGAUGAAGCGCGUGUCUUGGAU
rnacentral:hammerhead_ribozyme from 1 species